rnacentral:tRNA from 1 species
GGAUGAGUGAUCGAGCGGUCGAAGGUGUCGGUUUUGAAAACCGAAGUAUCUACAGAUACCGUGGGUUCGAAUCCCACCUUAUCCU